rnacentral:rRNA from 1 species
GACGAACGCUGGCGGCGUGCCUAACACAUGCAAGUCGAGCGAACGGACCAGAAGCUUGCUUCUCUGAUGUUAGCGGCGGACGGGUGCGUAACACGUGGAUAACCUACCUACCAGACUGGGAUAACUUCGGGAAAUCGUAUCUAAUACCGGAUAAUAUUUUGAACCGCAUUGUUCCAAAGUGAAAGUCGGUCUUUCUGUCACUUAUAGAUGGAUCCAGGCUGCAUUAGCUAGUUGGUGAGGUAACGGCUUACCAAGGCUAGGAUGCAUAGCCGACCUGAGAGGGGGAUAGGCCACACUGGAACUGAGACACGGUCGAGACUCCUAGGGGAGGAAGCAGUAGGGAAUAUUGCGCAAUGGGCGAAAGCAUGAUGGAGCAACGCCGCGUGAGUGAUGAGGGUCUUCGGAUCGUAAAGCACUGUAAUGAGGGAGGAAGAGAAGUAAAAGUAAACGUGGAGAUCUUGACGGUACCUAAACAAUAAGCCACGGCUAACUACGUG